AAGACUAAGAGGAGAGA
rnacentral:miRNA from 1 species